rnacentral:misc_RNA from 1 species
GUGAAUCAUCAAAUUUUUGAACGCAAAUUGCACUCACUUCGGAGAGUAUGCCUGUUUGAGGGUGAGGGUAAAAAAAAUGGACGUAGUCGCGGUUGCGCGGUGACAUACGUAGGAAAUUGGGUCAGCGUAAACCUUUGGGUAUUUUAAGCGGCUUAAAGUUGUCUUUACGAUUCAACGAGCGUUUCUAAGAUUGUACUUCUUACACA